GUUGGGUCAUGUGAUCGGGACUGGCCCCUAGGUGGCGCUGUUGAGCACGCCAGUGGCUCUGUAAAAGGCCAACUAGCUGGAGGACGGAAGGGUGGCCUGCAGACUGAGGAGGGGCAGGGCAGGUGCCCAGUCCAGAGAAGAGUUGAAGAUGACAAGCCGCACCACACCUCCCCCCAACUCACUUGGGACUGGAUCCACCCUGAGGAGCCUCGGGUCAACAUCCUGUUUCCUGCAAGCCCUCCUGGAGGCCACACAGAGGGGUGUUUGUUCUUAGUGUGCAGCGGGAGAGAUGCUAAUCGCGUUGGAUAGCUGGUCCCCGCUGAAGGUCAGGAGGUCAAACUCAGGACCGAGAGAGCUUGUUUUCCCUCAGGCAGCAUGGAAGCUGGGCUGCAUCUGGCCAGCAGUAGCUUCUUCCAGGGAGAGACCAGGCACCCUCUACUUGCUCCAUAACCUCCAUCGUUUCUCCUUGCCUCUGCGUCGUCCUCCAUCUUGCUUCUAGGUCUAGAACUCAGGUUUUCCCAUGCGCCUCCAGCUCAAAGGGCAAGCAAGCCUUGGGUCAGCACUGGUUAUCCAGUGGGGAGAUGGGCAAGUAUAGAAGACUA